UUCUGUCGUUCUAAAAUAAAGAAAUAAGCAGAAAGCAAAGCAAGUGUGUGUUUCUGACUGAUGUAGAAGCCUCGGGAAAUCACACAGGCGAGUGUGUGUGUGUGUGUGUGUGUGCGCGCGCGCGCGACUCUUCAGUGUUCUGCCGUCUGGUGGCCGCUGGCGGAACUGCACCCUGUGCGCUGUUUUGUGUUUACAGCUGAGCUGAAUGUGCUGCUCAUGUACGCGCUGCUCUGCAGGUCAGCCGCGGCUCCUCCUCGCGUCUCUCCUCCUCCUCCUCCUCCUGCUGCUCCUCGCGGGGUUUAUUCGUUAUGAUGAAAUCUUUCAUGAACAUUUUAGCACUCGCUCGUGGGUCCCGUCAUGCCCCGGUGCAUUGUGGUCGCUGUCAGGCGCGCAUGCGCGCAGCGGAGCUCCAUCUUUCCAUCCCGAGCGCAGAGGAGCAGCGGAUGUGUUGAUGCCUUCAGUCGUUUUGUUUUUAUUCUUAAAGGCCCAGAGUCGCUGUGAAAUAAACCCGCGCGGACUCUUCCUCCGUUAUUGUCCUCCGAGGAGCUUCCAGCACCGGGAAUGCGGCGGUUGGCGGCUGUUAUGAGGUAGAUCGAGCCGCUGCUGCUGCGCUUCGGCCGCGGCGACACAUUAGAGAGUGAAUCCGCUGCAGGAGCGCUUCCGGCCCGCAGGAGAGCAGGAGCCAUGGGUGUGCGAGAGCGGCCCCUGAGUGGCCCUUGAGUGCCGCAGACGCGUGUCCUGACCUCACUUCUUCUUCUUCAGUCUCCACUCUACUUCUUUCGGACUCUUUCUCAUGGCUCCGGCCGGCCGGACUGCAGCGGCGGCGGGGUCUGUGUCUGCAUGCGGCGCUGCGCUGGAGACGCCGUGCCGUCUGUGACUCCGCCCCUGAGCUGGACUUCCUCUUCUGAGCGUCAGGAUGCGACGCGGCGCCGACACGCAGACGAGCGCCUGAUCUGCAGGAGUUUAGCACUGGACCAUAAACAUGAAUGGUGGAAAAGAGCGGGAGGGUACCUUCGCCCAGGUGCCCAUCGGCUGGCAGAGGAAGCUGGAGGCCUCCGGUGUCCUGUACAUCAGCCCCAGCGGAUCAGUGCUGUCCUGUCUCGAGCAGGUCAAGUCUUACCUGCUGACCGAUGGCACCUGUAAAUGUGGUCUGGAAUGUCCACUCAUCCUCCCGAAGGUUUUUAACUUUGACCCUGGAGCGGCGGUGAAGCAGCGGACAGCAGAGGACGUGAAGGCUGACGAGGACGUGACGAAGCUCUGCAUCCACAAGCGGAAGCUGAUCGCGGUGGCGGCGCUGCAUAAGAGCAUGGAGCUGCAGCCGCCGGCGCUCACGCUCACCAGCCCCGGAGGAGGCACCAGUGUGAGCUCCAUGUCUGCCGCUCCGCCUCGAGCAAUAAGAAAUAAGACCCACGAGAGCCAGCCGGAGUGCAGGAACCCCUUCAAGACGAUGAUGGCGGCUGGGCAGCGGCACUUCUCUCCGGACCUGUGCCCGCAGCAGCAGCAGGACGGGUUCCCUUCAUACCCGCGGCAGAGGCUGAGUGAGCCCGGGCACAGGUCUCCAUACCGCAGUGGGCACAGUAGCAUGCUGAGCCCUCCGGUGCAGCCCUUCGGGGACAGUUCGGUUUCUCCCAGGACGGAUGCUCUCGGCAGUCCUGACGGGGUUCUCCGUGGCACGGCCUGUGGGUUUCAGGGCACCGGCAGCCCUGGAGCUGUCCACAGCAGCAGCCGCGUCCCUCUGUCGUCCCCGGGUGUCCUGGCACAUGGUUCACCCGUUGCCCCAUCCUCCUGUGUCAUGGCGGGCAGGACUAACAUGCCUCUGUCGCCCCCUGUGCCCAACAAGAGCCCCGUCAUGAAAAAACCCCUGUGCAACUAUCCGCCCGGCAUGGACUCCAGCAGAGGUGUGUUUCACCAUAAGGCCCUGUCUGUGUCUGCGCCCACCCUGCCGCCGCCCUGCGCCCUGCAGAAUAAACCGCUGAGCUCUGAAAAAGACCCACUCGGCAUCCUGGACCCCAUUCCCAGUAAACCCACCCCAUCCCCUUUCCAGUCCAGCGCCCACUCUCAGGUACCAAUGAUGAAUGUAAACAUCCCGCCCGCCAUCGUCCCACUGCCUAGUAACCUGCCCUUGCCCACGGUGAAGCCGGGCCCGGUGGGACACAUGCAGAGGGCACCGCACGCCACGUCCAUAUCCCCGUCUCCCGUCACGUCCCCUGUGCACAUGUCUGUGCCCGCGCUGGGUCGUGUGGAAGCAUCUCCUCAGCGCUCCCGGUCCUCGUCCACCUCCUCGGAGCAGGGCAGCUUCGCCGUGCCCCCAUGUGGCAGCAUGAAGGUGCCGCCGCGCUCGCCCCGCUCUGCCAUCAGCUCUCCGCGCCCUGCUCUGCCCUCCAGCCCGUCUGCCAAGCCGGAAGCUCUUCAUUCGUACAAAGAUGUGCCCGCCCAGCUGCUGGCAGGGAUGAGUGGCAUGAGCGGUCAGCACAACCCCAUGUACCCGCCUGCCCCAGCGGGUGCUGGGCCGCAGAAGGAGCACCCAGGUCUGCUGGGGAUGCCACUGAACCAGAUCCUUAACCAACACAACGCUGCCUCUUUCCCUGCCAGCAGCCUCCUCUCAGCUGCCGCCAAAGCACAGCUAGCAAAUCAAAACAAGCUAGGCAGUGGUGGUGGCGCGGUGGGCACGGGGGCGUCCGCUGGGCUCUCCUGCCCGCUCACUACACCGGACCCCAGCAGACCGACGGAGGGCCACGCUGCGCUGAACCCCAUGCUGCCGCCCAACCCCGCCAUGAUGAUGCCCAGCGGCGAAGCUCAGAGCGGGCGCGCUGCCCUCCGGGACAAACUCAUGGCACAGCAGCGUGACCCCAUGCGCAAGAGGAAGCAUCCUGCAAGCGUUGCCCACCACGAGAACAGUUUUUUCAACAUGGCUGGCAUAAGGACACCGUGCCCGCCGGCCGAGCAGAUGAGGAAAGCUGCCCGCCUGCCCUCCAACACGUCUAUGGCGCAGCUGCUGCAGUCUCUGAGUAACCACAGCUCCCACAGGGGCAGGAGUCCAGCCCUCGCCAGCCCUGGGCGGGCACACUUUGGGGAGGGGGCACAGGUACAGCAGCGGGGACAUGGGCAGCCCGACUCUAUGCACUGCCCUGCCGUGGAGCCCCAAAGCCACUACUCUGGCAUGAUGAACCAGAUGCAGCCCACGGCCAUGGGCAACUGCGCACCCGUGAACCACAGUGGUGCAGUUCCUCUGGCCAACCACAUGAUGGCGCACACAGGCACUCACUUUCAGCAGCACGUCCAGCCUAAUGCCAACUGCAUUCUGCCCGGCGGAGAGUCCUGCUGCCCGCAGCCCAUGGCAGAUGCAGGUGAGCCCAAUCCGCUGAGCUGCAGCAUGGCCAACACUGCUCAUAUGGGUGGCAUGAUGCCUGCCGCAGGACACAUGUACCACCAACACCACCAGCAGCAGCUUCACCCGGCACUGCAGGGCAUGCACGGAGUCUCUACAUACCCGAGCCAGGGACACUCCUUUACUACGGGCCCUUUCACAGACAGCAGCGUCCCCAACUCCAGCAGCGUGCCCUGCCUGUACCAGGAUUACCAGGGAUGUGUGUCUGAGAGCGGGCAGCCUGGCGUGGCGUCGCUCUCUGGAGAAGCGGGCAUGUACCGCGAGGGGCAGCAGAAGCUGCAGGGAGACGUGCCUGUGGUGCCAGGAGGUCAGGGGUCGGUGGAGUCAGUGGAUGCCAUCUACAGGGCGGUGGUGGAUGCGGCGGGCAAAGGUGUGCACGUGACCAUCACCAGCGGUGUAAGCGGCUCCACGCAGGCCAGCCCUGUGCCGGCGCUCAGUGCCAUGACAGAGCAGCGACGCCGCAGACGGGCACCAGUUCUUCCGCUCGCCCAGUGCCGCCACGCCACGAGCACAGUGGGAUGAGCCUGGCCUCUGGAGGAGCGAGGAGUUUCUGGAGUGCUCCACGGCGGUGCCUAGUGGGCGAGCGGAGCGGCAGUGCCCAGCAGAUCAGCCGCAGACCCACGAGCUCCCCGACACCCACACUGAUGAUGCCAGUCUGCGCUUCAACCACCGCGCCGGCACGGGCAUGAGAGAGCGACUGGAGCCGGCGGAGCGGUGCCCGCAGCUGAACGGCUCGCUCGCCCGUGCCGGGUACGGGGAUCCGCUGACCGCUGAGGACCAGUCGCCCGGCUCCUCCACCAGUUUGGAUGGCCCGCUCCUCAAAGACUACACCCACUUCAACGGGCACUUUAAUGGGCACUGCGCACCCAGCCCCUCCGACACCAAGAGCCUGAGCAGCGAGGAGGAGCUGCGGCACCCGGACUCGCCCUCCGCUGACCUGCUGCACUACAGGCCACGCCCCUACAACAUGGGUGAGCUGGUCUGGCCAAUCACAGGCUUCCCUGCCUGGCAGAAUAAGCUGGCAGAUGAACAUGGGCGCAAUCCCAGCAUGCAGCUGGCAGAGCAGGCCAAGGUGGAGCCGGAGCAGCUGAAAACACUAACACAUGACCUGCAGGCGCUGGACCGAGCCAGCAAGAAGAGCCGGAAGGCCGGAAAGCUGAACCAUCAUCUAGAAGCUGCGAUUCACGAGGCCAUGAGCGAGCUAGACAAGAUGUCUGGAACUGUCCACCCGGACCGUCAGGUCAAACUGCCCAAACCCAAGAGGAGGAAGAUCUCCAGAUAACAGCAGCGCUCCUGUGGCUCCACCCCCUUGCUGUGACUCCGCCUCUCUCUUUGAUCUCGGUGCUACACUCUAGCAGACGGCUCAGCGUGGCCCCGCCCUUCACACUGACUGACAGGUGCUGGAUCAGCCAAUUAGAGAAGGCAGACAGACAGCUUGCUGAAGAACUGUUUUUUCAGACAGGAGACGUCUACAGUACUGCGCUCACCACAGACAGUCCAAAUAUUUCUGAUAUGUUUUCAGUGUGUAUAUAGACAAUACAGAAAUUUCAUGGUAAAAACAUGGGAAGAAGUGUAAAUACUGUAGGAUAAUGAGAUGUACAAGCCAACCCAAUGCACACUUUAUCUUCAGCUGUACAAAAACACAAAGCAGAAACGUCUGAUCGGCCCGUACGGCUCCGCGACGUUACCAUCAAUAAGAGUCCGUCUGAGACUUUUGUAAGCUUCAGUGUGUGUGUGUGUGUGUGUGUGUUUGUGAGUGCGCGUGUGUGUGUGUCGGACUGGACUUCACCAGCUGAUCAGGCUUCUUGACUUCAGCUCUCGGGCUUCUCUGUAAAGUUCAGGUCUUCCAGCACUAAACACUAAUGUUUUCACUCCUCUGUCAUCGUCUUGCUCACUUUGCUCUGAUGUUUUCUGUCCUCGUGCGGCUGCUCUGGCCUUCCUCCAUGGUCUUGUCGUGUCUCUGCGUUACACUCGUGUCUGUGAGGUUUGGGUCGAGUCGUUCUCACUGUACUGGCCAACACGAGGGAAACUGGGCUGAUCAUGUGGAGCUCACUGUUCAUCAGGAAACUUGGCAAUAACACGGCCCAGUGUACAUACUCGCUAAAGCCUUAUGCGUGUGUAUCUCUCUCACACACUCACACACACACUCGUACCCUUCAGUGUUAUUCGGUGAACAGUGUUUUUCUUCAUUAUGUAUUUCUCCUGUGUUGGAGUUUGGCUCAUCAUCAGAUGGAGGUGUGGAGGGUUCAUGUUUGUCUCCGCAUUGAGACGUUCCUCAGUCACAUCAGCAGUGGAGAUCACAUGACCAGCUGAACACUGGUCGCUCUCACUGAACACUUCAUACACACCAAACAGACGCAGGACAGCUGGAGAUCUGCUGCUGAAUCUCCAGCAGACUCAUUCAACCCCUGCUGAUGGGUAACUGUUUGUCUGCCCAUAGACAGGGUCACCCUGAGAGGUCAGAGGUCAGCGUCGGGCCUUUAGGGUCAGGACAGGUCGUACAGCAUUACUGUAGAGUGUGAGGAUCUGCCAGUAACACUAACUCAGUAUGAAGAGCUGAUUCAGUGCAUCGUGUGUGUGUAAACUCUAGACAUGUGGGGGAUUUACAGCUCAUCCGGUCACACUCAAAACUCUAAACUAGGCCAGAGUCAACAGCAGACGUCGGUCGAUUUCUCUUCUUGUUGUCGUCUUUACUGAAAUUUCACUACAAAAUUAAGUGCAAUAUUCACAUUCAGUGGAACCGAAAACUAAAUCCACACAAAUAUAGAUUAACAUGACAGUCCAGAGGUGAAAUCACUCAAGCCUGUUCAGCGAGACGAGCAGAUGAGUGUGUGUGUGUGUGUGCUGGUGAAGUCGGCUCCGUGUUGUGCUGCGCAUCCGUGUUCAGAGUCACUGUUCAAGGUCAAAACAUUUGUGUUCAUGUGCUCAGUGUUGGCCAAAACUCCUCCAUUGCUCUUCUGUUUCUCUCAUCUCCUCCAGUGUGUGUGUGUGUGUGUGUGUGUGUGUGCACAUGUGCACAUGAGUGAGUGUGUGUGUGUGUGUGUGUACAUUUUUUGUUCUUUGCUUGCUAUUUUCUGACUGGUAUCUGACUGGUGUUGCAGACCUUUCUGAUGUCCAUAUUCUGGAUGCGUAUCUGAGUAUAUAUUUUCUCACCAGUAUGUACUUUACAGCAGUCGACUUGCUAAAGUAUGUUGUGCACUUGAUUAUGUUUGUUUCUGAUAGCUUUGAUGUGGCUGUUAGCUUUAGUUUGUUCAAGUCCAUAAUUUCUCAUGGUUUCUUUUGGUUUUUUAAAGAUGUCCUAAACAGCAGUUUUGUAAAUAUUGUGAACAUUACAGGUCAUGCUGUGAUGUGACAUUGAGAUGACGUUGCACCAAUGUUUCAAUUAAAACCUGGUCACUAAAUCCG